rnacentral:rRNA from 1 species
AUUGAACGCUGGCGGCAUGCCUUACACAUGCAAGUCGAACGGCAGCACGGGAGCAAUCCUGGCGGCGAGUGGCGAACGGGUGAGUAAAGUAUCGGAACGUGCCCAGUCGUGGGGGAUAACGUAGCGAAAGUUACGCUAAUACCGCAUACGAUCUCUGGAUGAAAGCGGGGGAUCGCAAGACAUCGCGCGAUUGGAGCGGCCGAUAUCAGAUUAGGUAGUUGGUGGGGUAAAGGCUCACCAAGCCGACGAUCUGUAGCUGGUCUGAGAGGACGACCAGCCACACUGGGACUGAGACACGGCCCAGACUCGUACGGGAGGCAGCAGUGGGGAAUUUUGGACAAUGGGCGAAAGCCUGAUCCAGCCAUGCCGCGUGCAGGAUGAAGGCCUUCGGGUUGUAAACUGCUUUUGUACGGAACGAAAAGGUUUGGCCUAAUAAGCUGAGCUCAUGACGGUACCGUAAGAAUAAGCACCGGCUAACUACGUGCCAGCCGCCGCAGUAA